GUGCGCUUCACCAUAGCGCCCAGCUCCAGCAUCAGCGUGUUGGUAACCAGCUCCUCGCUGGUGCGCUGGCCUGGCACUUUGGGCUCCAGGGAGAAGAUGGCUGACCAAGGAAACAUCUGGUGUUCCCAACUGAAUUCCACUCGCUAGCAGCGUGACAGCUGGCAGGCUUCCAUGAAGCUCCUCACCCGGAUGCCUCUCUCCUGCUGUCAGUAGGGUUUGGGGAUUGACAAUGAACAGAAUAGUAAUCCUGUCGUGAGAAAGAGUGGAGGAUGAGAUGAGAUGAGCUUAGGCGUGCACACACACUGGAGGUGACCCAUGAGUGAGAAAACAUUUUUGGAGUUCUCUCUCUCUUUUAUGUGUGUGACUGAAAAGAAAUAAGGAUUCUCACUAAAGGUGGUUCCUCCGUGGUGGAUUGAAACUUUCUAUUUCACAUUGUCAUAAUAUUGAAUCAUAAGUGAAAGAUAUUCCAAACCAGACAUUUGUUAUAAAUUACAAUAAGGCCCAAUUUGCUGAUUGGUAAAUCUUUUUUCAAACCUUUGUCUUCUACACAUUAUUCCUUAUCAUACACAUCUAUCAUUGGUAGAAUGUUGUGACUGAGUAUUACAUAACCGACCCCAUAUGCCCCCCCCCCCCCCCCACACACACACACAGGCAUCAGGUUCCACUAUGUGAUGUAGUUUUAGAGUCGUCCACUGGUGUUCCGCACCACUCAGCACUGACUCACCAAAUCCCAGAUUACGCUGCAAUCCACAACCGAUCUGGAAAACUACAGACAGUUUGUCAUGGUGAUUAUAAUCUAAUUAAAAGUGCCCAUGAUGAUUGCUGCUCAUUUUGGUGAUGUUUCUGUGGAUUCUGCUGUCAGUUGGUAUAAAAAUAUUGCAAAAUAUAUAGCUAUUUAUUAUGUUUUAUCAUGCUUUAAUAAGGAAGAAAAUUCAGGAUCUUGUAGUAUGAUUAGAGCCGCCAAUUUAUUGUUUGAAUUUCAAACCUCAACUUCAAAAUCAAACGUGCUUUAUACUCUGGGAGUCUACAUAAAUGACUAGGUGGUUUAUUGUGUACCUUAUUGUUCUAUCGUAAGACAACGAUGCAUGUAAUGAUUAGUUAACUUUGCAAUACUGAAAUAAAAUAGUUUUACAAGAUAGGUAAGGGGG